rnacentral:lncRNA from 1 species
UUUAAAUGAUCCUGUGUGUUUGGAGCGCCCACUUGAGAGAGUAAGCUUGGGAGACAGGGAUUGCAACUUGGACUUCUCUUCUUCCCUUUAGGUCAGCUGUCCAAGUGAUGCUCCAUGAAUGCUCUUAACUUACUGACCAAUUAACAGCCACAGCUGGGCACUGAAUCUGUGCUUGAAACAUGAACAUGGUGAUGACUGCAGUAAUAGUAACAGCUUGUUGGAUAUGCAACCUCUGUUUCCUCCUUUCCAGAAGCUCGCAGUGUUUUGAAGAGGCGGUGACAGGUUCAGCACAUAUCAGCUACCAUGGGGAGCACGCGUCAGUCUAUCGGUGGGAGUCAAUGGCAACAUUACUGCGUCCCGAGGCUCUCUCUGACCCGGUCAACUUGACCUUGUAAAGAAAGAGAAGCAGAGUGAUGGAGAUGAAGUCAUUUCUUUCACCCCAGCAUUCUGGGCCUGGAGACUGUUCCUCUCUACCUCACCAAGUCGCUCCCACUCAUCUCGGUCCUACUUUUAAGCCCCC